rnacentral:lncRNA from 1 species
GUUGUUGUAUGGCAGAAACUAACACAACAUUGUAAAGAAAUUAUCCUCCAAAUAAAAAUAAAUUUUAAAAUCCUUACUUUUUAAAAUGUGGCUGCUAGAAGUUUGAACAUUACAUCUGUGGCUCACAUUCUAUUUCUGUUGUGUUACUCCCAGAUUUACCAGGCCUCUGAGUGGAACACACUUGUCACUUACCAGGAGCCGAAGCUGAUCACAUGACCAAGCUGGAGUCAUACGGAAAGAGACUACAUAAAGCGUGCAGCAGACUUGUGAUUUCAUACCAAUCAUGCCCGAUUGAUGCUUUUGAACUGUGGUACUGGAGAAGACUCUUGAGAGUCACUUGGACAGCAAGGAGAUCAAACCAGUCAAAUCUAAAGGAAAUCAACUCUGAAUGUUCAUUUGAAGGUCUGAUGCUGAAGCUGAAGCUCCAAAAGUUUGGCUAUCUGAUGCAAAGAGCCAACUCUUUGGAAAAGACCCUGAUGCUGGGAAAGAUUGAAGGCAGGAGGAGAAGGGGAUGACAGAGGAUGAGAUGGUUGGAUGACAUCGCUGACUUAAUGGACAUAAGUUUGAGCAAGCUCUGGGUGAUGGUGAAGGACAGGGAAGCCUGGGAUACUGCAGUCCAUGGGGUCGUAAAGAGUUGGACACAACUUAGUAACUGAACAGCAACAAAUACCUGAUUCAUGUCACCUCCGCCACUAGAGACUAAGCUCUGUGGCAUCUGGGACUGUGGCCAUUUCUGCUGACCACUGCACACCCAGCCUUAACCCAGGGCCUGCCAUGCAGUGGGUACAUAUACUGGCUAAUGCUUGUUGAAUGAGUAAACCAUCGAAUCAAUAAAAAAAUAUUCUCCUUCUUUGUACUUCCCUUUAGGCAUAAACAAAAUCAGUUUCAGUUGUUGGAGAAAAACAAAGUCCUUGUCCAGGCACACGGUCCACUGCAUGGAAAAUAUGGGGUCACUCUUCCUAAGAGGCAACUCUCUUUUCCCUGCAAGUUGAUUAUUUGUUCGUUUUGCUAGAGACAGUCCUGCCUUGGAGACAGUGAUGCUCAUGGUGAGCAUGGGGUGGGAAGGUUGGCUGAGGAGGAGCACAUGAAGUGAGUUGAACUGUAUCUCUGCAUCACAGUUUUGUGUGUGUAUGUGUGUGUAAGCGUGU